rnacentral:rRNA from 1 species
UACGGGGGGUGCGAGCGUUGUCCGGAAUCAUUGGGCGUAAAGCGCGUGUAGGCGGCCCGGUAAGUCCGCUGUGAAAGUCGGGGGCUCAACCCUCGGAUGCCGGUGGAUACUGUCGGGCUAGAGUGCGGAAGAGGCGAGUGGAAUUCCUGGUGUAGCGGUGAAAUGCGCAGAUAUCAGGAGGAACACCAAUUGCGAAGGCAGCUCGCUGGGACGUGACUGACGCUGAGACGCGAAAGCGUGGGGAGCAAACAGG